rnacentral:tRNA from 2 species
AAGGGCUUAGCUUAAUUAAAGUAAUUGAUUUGCAUUCAGUUGAUGUAAGAUAGAGUCUUGCAGUCCUUA